UACAGAGGUCACAAGCGUUAUCCGGAUUUAUUGGGCGUAAAGCGUUUCGUAGGUGGGUUAGUAAGUUACCCUUCAAAGACCACGGCUCAACCGGGGGAAGGGGGGUAAGACUACUAGUCUUGAUAUUUGGUGGGGCUUCUGGAACUGAUGGUGUAGUAGUGAAAUACGUUGAUAUCAUCAGGAACUCCAAGGGCGAAGGCAGGAAGCUAACCAAUUUAUGACACUGAGGAACGACAGCUAGGGGAGCGAAAGGG
rnacentral:rRNA from 1 species